AGCGGCCCCUGCAUUGCGGAGGGGCCCGGCCGCUGCGCGAAAUGGCGGGGCCGGCUCUGAGGGAUCGACCCCGCCACGGAGGCGGCUCGGUGAGAUAGGUACGGAGAUGUACCUCAGAAACCGCACCGCUGGCUUGCAGACUGUGUGGUGACAGACCCUCCAACUGCUCCCCGCACUGACUUCGACAGUAAAAGAUCUGAGUGCGUAAAUUAAGGCUACAGACAUUCCCUUCCAGUCCUUUUUCCUUGGCCCUCCUCAAGUUAUCUGGGAGAACUUCCCACCACUGCCACUUCCCUAGUCUAGCAUUUCAUCUAUAAAUCAGUGGCAUGCAAAGGGAGCAGAAUCAUGCCAAGAGGACAAAGCCAUCAUGUUCCCCUCUGGCUGCUCACCGUCAGUGAUGUAUAUCCAUCCGGAGGAGAUGCUUCCAGAGGAAACAUUUGCUGCAGGCAGUCAUUCUUCCAGACUGUCGGGAGUGAAGACUGUCAAGGACAGUGUACCUGCAUACCCAGCACCCAGGGCCACAGUAGUGCCUUUCCCUGCUGUCCUCUUUAGUGCCUCCCUUUGAAGGCCCACACAGCCAUACAAAGACCCCAGAGGAGCUCUCCCCACAAGCUCAGCUUAUUUUGAGCUUACACUAUUAAAAAAAUAAAAUUAAAAAAAAGGAAAGGACAGCUUAUAUUUUUGUGGGAAAUAAGCCCUGUGAUGACUAUCAUGGAAGAGAGCUCUCAGUGGAAAGACACCAUGCACAAUAAAUAGGCUUCAUGCUGUCUACAAAUGAUCCUAGAGCUCACGGUGAUAAAACCAACCAGAGAAAGGCUCAGAAUAUUCCAUGUGCUGUGGAGAAAUCAAUGCCUCUAGCUCCAAUGCAGUACUUUAGCAGCCCCUUUUCAGCAGCAGGCUGCAGAGAGAAAAGGUGAAUCUUGGAAGUUAGUCAUUCAGCUGCAGCUCUCCGUUAAACAGUCAUCAAAGAUGAUGAAAAAUAAACACAGAAAAAACAAUGUGGCAUUCACCAUUUUCCACCAGAUAAUUAUCUAGUCAAAUUACAUUAUACUUUACAUUAAAUAUUCAGCAACGGCGUUGACACUAGACGUUUUAAGACAGGGAAAAUUCUUAUAAUUUAUGUUAGAGAUGUUAAGAUACACACACGUUAUCUUUAUUAGAAGUAUUCAUAAAGAGAUCAAAAAGCAUCAUCCCAGUAAGAGAUAGUGGGGAAAUAUUUUUUACAAAGGAGGUUUUUACAUAACCUCACAAAUGAUGGGCUUUAUAGUAAAGCUUUGACACACUGAAUUAUGAAUGUCUAUAUGAAGGUCUAAUAUGUGAAAUAGAGGAUUUUUGCCUGCCUGCUAAAAGAAGGAAGGACAUAGUAGUCUUUUUUAAAAUGAUUCAUUUGAAAUAGCAGCUGAGAAAUAACACACUCCAAAAGGGACCACGUCAAUAUACGUUCUUUUCUUUAGACUAUAUAGCUAUAAUAACAAACUCCUGUUUCUCCUCUGCCAGUUUAUCAAGCUGUAAUUGUUGGCAACUUAGGUGUUUGGCUUCCCUUCAGAGCAGAGAAGGAAACAUUUAAUCUCUCAAAAACACAGUAUGACCCAAGACUUGGUGCCAAUGUCACAGCAUUAGCUAAGUGAACAGAGCAGUCAAGUCAAAGCCAACUCUUACUUAUUCGUGAUCGGAAGCGCUACAAGCAGAAACGAGAAUUAUGAAGCGAUGGAAAGUAUUCUGUGGUGUUUUGUGCACUUUCCCCGGUAGCAUGUUCUCAGUCUCUGGGCAUGUGCCACAACCGGUUGAGCAGUUUUUGCCACCUUUCCCCUUGGAAGCACCUAGGCUAAGGUGACCGUGAAGGCAUGAUUACUGCCUCGGUUUGGCUGAGAUGUUUCUCACAGUGACAGAGCUCUAGGGUCCCCCUAGUGCCCUGCUGAGGCAAUAAGAAAAAAAAAGGUGAGCUGAAUAGCUCUUUAAAAUGUGUCACCAACCUCAAAGCAAAACAAAAGCAUCCACUGAAAAUAUUACAUAUUUGUCCCUGGCUUUACAGAAGAGACUAUGUUCAAGUUGCUUCUGACUUGGACAGGAAACUCAAUUGUAUCAUUAGCUCAUAUGGUAAAAUUUCCGUUUAAGAGACCUCUUUUUUCUGCCUGUCUUCCAUUUGAUAACAUCUACCUUCUAAAGAUUAUUUGGAGAUAUUACCUGUCUGUAAAUGAAUGCCUCAGGUUACCACGGGAAAGCUUUAAGCAAGGAUCUAGCCACAGUGGCAGGACUGUCACCAGAGCAGCUCUGCCUUGUAGACCUUCGCUAUCUUUGGUCUUUUUGUCUGAGGGAACUAGGUUCCCAUGUGAAUUAUGAUGGAUUAGUUAGCUUUAGGGAGCUACGCUCUCAUUUACUAAAUGCUUUAGAUGUCAAAAGCCAGUUUUUACAUUAGAGCUAGAAUGAUUUGAAAGAUUUGAAAGCAAGCAGAGUACUAAAUACUGCUGGCACCUGCUCUUGGGGACUCAAGGAGACAAGAACUACAGUAGAGACUCCACUCCAGGGGGCAUCUGGAUCCUCAGUUCUCAGUGCUGUGAUUGAAAGCAGAGGGUCCCCAGAUACACACAACAGUGAAAAAUGCACAGCAGAGGUCCCUUACUGAGGACGCAGGUCUGUGCAGAGCCUCCUUUUUUCCCCUGUCAUUUACCUAACCCAGAUACAUUUUCUCUCAGCUCUUGAGGCUUUAUGACAUAUUGGUUAUGGGGCUGCUUGCCUUUGCUGAAGAGGAAAAAAGCAGAUGUCAGGCUUGUCAUGUUAGGGACAUCUCACAGGAGAUUUUGUAAAUGUAUUCAAAAGGAAGUGAGGGGUGUACCGAUCCUGGCAGAAUGCAGAUGGUGAAAGUUCCUACCCUAAGCCAUUUUUCACUGCUUUAACCCAUGUUCUGGGGUAGAGAGGAAUAUUUCAUCUGUUAAAUUCCCAUCUCCACAAGAAAGGAAAAGAAGGCUCUCCAGAAAAUAAGGUUUGUUGCUCUUAACAUUUUCUAGUUAUAGCAGGGAAUGUUGUUUGCCAGGAAGUAUCAAAUGCAAGUUUAUGAGUUUGGUUUAUUCGCUUUGCCAUCUCUAGCUUCUCACUAGUAUAAGCACUGCCUUCUUUAUCUAGCAUGAAAGCUGUGGGAAUAAAACUACUGCCCCAUUCAGCCUUAUUAGGUCUGCUAAUGCAAUAGGAAAAUAAACAGCCACUGCCUACCUAAAGAUGAACAGAACACACAUUAAGGUUUAAGUAGUGAAAUCUCUUUGCACAUUGCAUCUGUAGGAAAUUAUAUGGAAAAGUUGCAUUUUAAAGUAAAAAGGAUGUAUAAAUUACUAAAUAUUCAAAUUGGUUAGAACAUAAGGGGUAUCCUAUUUUUGAUAUUUAAUUUCCUGUUCUAGUGGAAAGUCUGAUUUUUUCCAACAGUAUCUACUGAGAAUUAAAACCUCAGAAGGAGUCUAUUACUAUGCUUGCACAUGGAAGCUCUUCAACUCUCUGAUGCACUGAUAGCUUGUUUUAUUAAUGUGGAAUUUUGAUAAGGCUUUUUACUUCUUAAUAUGCUCAUCUUAUGUUCAAACAUGUAAAUGUUACUACAUUUUCCAUGCCUAGAGCUUAAAUUAUCAGCUGAAAAAAAUUAGCCUAAUCAAGUUAACACUACAAUACAGGGCAACAUAGUUCAUCUUGGGGUUGGGGGUUCAUAUUUCUUUUCCCCUUUCUACGAAUAAAACACCGCUGUUAUUUGUUGAGAGAGGGGAGGCAUCUACAGACAGAAUGAGGGGCUGUUUAUUCACAUAGGCUACAUACAUUGCCAGUUUGCUGCUACAAGUCCUCAGUCAGUUUUGGAAAAGACAAAACUGCAUGCCUUCAGGCCAGGGCUGGAGUGAGCACAGGAGUCCAUGUUCUGCAGUCCUAAAAGCACUGAAGAAUUAAGGCAAUUCAUAGAGGGCUGUGAUAGACCUCACCCACUUAUGUGGAUCAGCCAUGAGAAGAGCAUAAAGGCCGUGAGGCAGGGUCUGCCCAAAGGAAAAAGAGGGACUUGGAAGUAGCCUCAUGGACAUCACACACUUCCCAAAGGCCCUACUGGCUGCUAGCCCAGCGGUGCUUCAGGCUCAUUGAUCACAGUCCUCAGGAAAACUCAAGUUCAGAAGAUUCAUUUGUAAGUCACAUCACUCUGCCUUGCCAGAACUGUGGCUAGAGGUUAAACAUCAAACAUGUUUGGGCUCUUUCCCAUCAACAAGCUUCAAGCUCUGCCUAAAACUCAGCUUCCGUGCAAACAACAAAUGUGGCGUUGUAGUCUAGGUUUGAGAAUGGCCUCAGUCUGAGCAAUGAACACACCCACUAUGUCUUCGUGUGGCUGAAAUAAGUCCCUGGCCUGAGGAAAAUGGUUCUGAAUGCCUGAAGAUUACCUGUGGGUUUGCUGUCUUACAAAAUGGCUCCCCAUUCAGGGUCAUCACCAGCACAUCACUCUAAAGGUCUGCUUUGUACAUGAAAGAUGAGGGGUGGAGAUGAAGUGCCCCUAAAGGGCAGCACGUACAAAACAUCUGUAAAUUCCUGCUAGCUUCUGCCCAUAUAUUUGCCGAUGGUUAUCUAGCAGCACAAAUCAGUACUUCAUGUGCAGUUAUCUGUCUGAAUUAGAGAUGUUUCCCCAUGUAAGCCCCUGGGUUAAUGAACUGAUACAUUUGCUGCAACCAGCUUCUGAAUUGCAGCCUGUGCGCCUGAAUGAUCUCUCCUGAAAGCAGAGCUGAAGAACCCAUGGGAUCUGUGAAGAGAAGCAGCUGUAGUUGCUUUAGCAUAGUCUCUGCCAUGCCAGCAGGUAGAUGAAGUUAUAUAAAAAGGUUCAGAUCUUAUUAAAUCUGCUGUCACAAUAAGAAAGCAGUAGUUCACGCAACUCUUGGGCAGAUCACAAAGCAGCCUAGCAGUCACACAGCUACCUGCGUUAGCUCUGAAACACAUUGGGCUAAUAGAAGCUACAUCUUUUUCAACUAGUACUUUGGAUUUUUCAUUCGGAGAGCCUGUGCUCCAGUCCAGUUCAAAGAGGAGAGUCAACAGAGCAACUUGGGGUGCUCAUUCCUGUAAGUUACCUCAGCCAGCAGUUCGAAUGAAAAAAAAGGUCAGAAUUGGGAUUAAUUCUGCCUUGAGUCUUGUAUCCUGACAAAGGAGCUGUAAGAGAAAUGCAAAGCAUGUUAUAAUCAAAGACCUGAUGGGUGGAGAGAGAAGCAUUUCAGGUGGUUGUGAAACGCAUCAACAUCUAUUGUCUACAGCGACUCCUUGUCAUCACUUGAUAUUUCUGAUUUUCAAAGUGUCUAUGGAUGCUUUGCGCAGGCUGCUGUGUUGCCAUGGACACAGUGGUGUCAGCGCUGAGGCCGUUAGUAAAUGGGCUGAUCUGUUUGUGCACCUACAGAACGAAAAGAAAGACAAAUCCCAUCGUUUGUGGAGCUGUUAGCAAAGGGAGGCUGACAGUAAAACAAAGUGACUCCGCAUAAUGGUUUUCAGAAUGUCCUCCUCUUCAUAAUGAUGGUGGAGUAAAGAGAGGGAAGAUAAUGAAUCCAAGGGAUGAGGAGAGCUGUCAGGCACUUACCAAAACCCUGCUUGCAUAGCUUAAGGCAAAGGUCCCUACAUGAUAGCAUCAACUACAUGGUCAAGGAAAAUCAAUCAGGUUUAAUAAUUCAGUUUCCUAAUGCUUGGCAACACUUUCUGCAAGAGCAAGGCAAAUCAACAACGGCAACAUCAAAAAUACCAAAGCGAACAGGAGUGAUCAAUAGACAACAUAACAAAACAGAGCAACUUGCUUUUAAGAGAUACCCUGGGAGCAAGCAACAGAUCCACAUUAUAAAGCUAAUAUUUAGAUAGUACACACUUAAUGCUUUUAUCCAGGCACAGCUCCACUGCUAAGUGAGAGGCAAAACAGGUUUAGAAGUGACAGGCUAGUGUAUGCACAGGAAAUCAAGUAAAAAACCCGGGCAGCAGUCCAGUCUGUUUUCAAACUUUUGCUUUUUUCUUGGUGUUAGAACAAUCUCAUUAGUUGUCCAUAUAAACAGCACAGAUCUGAGAGCUGAAUUCCCAUACAUUCACGCAGGGCUUAUUAUUAUUAUUAGGCAACAACAUAAGAUUGUUUAAUUUGAUUAUGACUUUUCAUUUUCUGCUCUGUUAUUCUAAAGGGAGCUCUGCACAGAUUAGGCACAUUACCGUGCAUUUCACUGAGAGCUUCUCUUGCCUUUGAAUUUGGGGUCAAGCACCAAAACUUUCAGAGGGAAGGUUUGUUCCCCACUGCUGACAUGGAUGUUUAAGGUAAAUAGCUGUUACCAAUAAGAAGGAAGAAUAAUAUGAGGUCACCCUUAGCGUACCUUCUCUCAGUGGGGCUGCAUCACUGAAUAAGAACCAGAAAUAGAAUGCAGGAUGUUUUAUAGGGAUUUCUUAACCAAUGAAGUUUGAUCCACUUGGUUUCUCUGCCAUAAAUCAGGGAAAACAAAGUUGGCCAGUUCUGCAGUCAGCUGUAGUGUCCUCCCAGACUCACAUCUGCAAUGGAAGCACCAAGAACAAUCUUUAGAGAAGCUGAAGAUAAGCAGAAAGCCAGAACUCCAAUCCUUGGCCUUCUGUAAGUCCUCUCGGUCUGGCAUCUCUCCAGAGGUGUGGACAAAGACUUGGUGUCUUUCCAGCUCUAGACCAACACGGCCAGUAGCUCUAAGGAAGCUUCUCCAGCCCAGAGCCACUCAAGCCUCUCCUCGUGGCUUUGCUCUGCGGACAGGCCCAGCAGCACAGCUCUGUCAGGGUGCUGGCUCCACUCCUUUACCUCCUGCUGCCGACUCACACUGAAGACAGCUGAGCCCAGAGAAACGCUUCGCACACCAGCCACUGCGGUCACCCCAGAGGGGAAGUGUGAGUGCGGACAGGUGGUUUUUGCCCUCCCAGCUGCAGCAGGAGGGAGCUCUGAAGUACAUCUCUUCAUUUUGAUAAGACUUACUUCUCGUUACGCUGGCAUUGAAAGAUAGCAGGCCCAAGUCUGUUCUCAUUUCUCCGAGGUAAUUCUGCUGAUGCCAAAUCAAUCGCCAUGUCCUGUCUCUUUAUGGCUCUCUUGACUUAUUUUUUUCCUGGCAUAAAUGAGACAAUUGUCUGAGCACAGCUCUGCUUCAGUCUCAUCUGUGCAGCAUCUCUCCUCAGCCACCUGGAGAGCACACUAUGGCAGAAGUCAGCAAGUGCUUCUGCAAUGUAACAGGAGGUCCUGGUGUCCACAGGGACAAGAUCAAGCUUGGAAAAUAAGGGGCAAGCUCAAGAUAGAAGUAGUCAGCACUCUUUUGGUGCAUGUUCCCUGGCACUACAGACAGACAGGCAUGUGAGAACCGUGCGUAAUGCCAUAAUGCCUAAAAAAUUUUCAGUGGUGCAAGUUGCACGCAGCCCUUUCCUGUUGAGAGGCUGGCUUAUGCCCUGGAAAAUGACAAAUUGCAUCUCUUCCAAAAAUCUUGAUUAUCGCUUAAGUCCUUGUGUUCACAGUCCUCCCAGAUCCUCGUGGAGGUUCAGAGCAGCCUUCUCCUGCAUACAGAUAACUGUGAUUAAAUUU